CCUACGUAGUAUUAUAGAGAGUACUAUAGAGAGAAAGACAGCGGCUCAUGUAAUGGCUGUCUGGAAGAUAUGAUCCCCUAGCCCGAAGAGAAUAUAUUUAGGAUGAAGAAUGUUGAAGGAGUUUUUAAGAUGCUUACAAGGUCUACUCUGGUUCAAUGGCUACUUGAGAGAUGUAGGUAAAACUGUGAUUGGUGAUGCAUCUGGAAUAAUGUUAUAUCAGAGGCAUCAAAAGGGGGGAAUGUGAUGGGAUUCCAGCAUGGUUAAAAUUUAGUAGGCC